GAGGGGGGGGGAGCAAGGGCGAAGCUGAUGCAGCAACGCCGCGUGAGGGAUGCACGGCCUUCGGGUUGUAAACCUCUUUUAGCAGGGAAGAAGCGAAAGUGACGGUACCUGCAGAAAAAGCGCCGGCUAACUACGUGCCAGCAGCCGCGGUAAUACGUAGGGCGCAAGCGUUAUCCGGAAUUAUUGGGCGUAAAGAGCUCGUAGGCGGUUUGUCGCGUCUGCUGUGAAAUCCCGAGGCUCAACCUCGGGCCUGCAGUGGGUACGGGCAGACUAGAGUGCGGUAGGGGAGAUUGGAAUUCCUGGUGUAGCGGUGGAAUGCGCAGAUAUCAGGAGGAACACCGAUGGCGAAGGCAGAUCUCUGGGCCGUAACUGACGCUGAGGAGCGAAAGGGUGGGGAGCAAACAGGCUUAGAUACCCUGGUAGUCCACCCCGUAAACGUUGGGAACUAGUUGUGGGGACCAUUCCACGGUUUCCGUGACGCAGCUAACGCAUUAAGUUCCCCGCCUGGGGAGUACGGCCGCAAGGCUAAAACUCAAAGGAAUUGACGGGGACCCGCACAAGCGGCGGAGCAUGCGGAUUAAUUCGAUGCAACGCGAAGAACCUUACCAAGGCUUGACAUACACCAGAACGGGCCAGAAAUGGUCAACUCUUUGGACACUGGUGAACAGGUGGUGCAUGGUUGUCGUCAGCUCGUGUCGUGAGAUGUUGGGUUAAGUCCCGCAACGAGCGCAACCCUCGUUCUAUGUUGCCAGCACGUAAUGGUGGGAACUCAUGGGAUACUGCCGGGGUCAACUCGGAGGAAGGUGGGGAUGACGUCAAAUCAUCAUGCCCCUUAUGUCUUGGGCUUCACGCAUGCUACAAUGGCCGGUACAAAGGGCUGCAAUACCGUGAGGUGGAGCGAAUCCCAAAAGCCGGUCCCAGUUCGGAUUGAGGUCUGCAACUCGACCUCAUGAAGUCGGAGUCGCUAGUAAUCGCAGAUCAGCAACGCUGCGGUGAAUACGUUCCCGGGUCUUGUAAACACGCUCGUCAAGUCAUGAAAGUCGGUAACACUGAAGCGGUGGGCCCAACUCUUGUGAGAGAGACGUCUGAAGUGUGAUCG
rnacentral:rRNA from 1 species